AUGCUUUUCCUUCAACAAUCCAGGAAGGAUCAAACACAUGCCAAGAAUGAUAAAGCUUCAAAUUCUGACACAAGAGUAAUCUCAGGUAUGGUUAACAUAGGUAAUCCUAUUCGUGAUACUUCUAUAUGGAUACUUGAUUCAGGGGCAUCACGUCAUGUUUUCCCUCAUAUAAAGUGUUUUUCUGGUAUAUCCAUGAUUCCACUUGUGCAAAUCUAUCUUCCUAAUGAAAGGCAUAAAGCAGGGUUAGUGGCUCAAGGUUUCAAAAAAAUCCAAGAUCGCGGUUAG